UUACUCCAGUGAACCCUCUUUGUCUCCCAGUCAACCAGUAUUACUCUCUUUGUCUCUCAAUCUCCGUCUCUCGCAAACCCUAAAAUCCUAAUCGCAAAUUGCAAAUUGCAACCCUCUCUGCUUCUCUCCCUCGCUCCGUCUCUUAAUCUCUCAAAAGACUGUCAUAGCCCGCCAGCCCUCUCGCCUGUCGCCACUCAAGCGCUCGCUGCCUCGCCGGUCGCCGCUCAAGCGCUCGUUGCCUCACCGCCUCAUUGCCCUCACCCGUUGCAGACUCUUGGUUCUUCACUUCUUCGAAGUUCCAACUAUCAAGUGUUUCUCUAGUGGCUUAAAUGUUGACAUUGGAAGAAUUUUUAGUUUGCAGAUAAAGUGGGGUUUAGGCAGUUGACAUAUCACCUUCAGUAGCUUAUGACCUGAUACAGGAGUCAGUGAUGCAUUCUGCCUCAUUCUGUUGUGAUUAUCAGUUCGAAUCAUAGAACAUUUGUACUACAUUGAGAUGGUAUUCUAGGCAAAGAUAAGGAACACAAGAACAGCCAACCGCGCACACUGGGCAAUUCACAGGCUACAAGCUAAUACCUGGAUCAAAUUUUUUGCCAUUAGCUGGUGGAAAUGCAAAAUUUCUAAGAAGAGCUGCUUUCUUAAAACAUAACCUUUAGGUUCUUUGAUGGCAUGGAUGCUUCAGCGGCAUAUGUGGCAAGCUUGUUGGCUAUUGAGCCUCCUGAUAGUUCCAUAUGACAGUAUGACUCCUCUGCAAGCUUCCCUUGGGGUGAGACUGGUCAGUAGCAACAAGUAAAUUGAAAAUAGCUCAAGUCUCGUGUGGUUGGAGGCAUACAGUUGCUUUUACUGAAAGGCAAAAUGUCUAUUCAUGGGGGAGAGGAAUAAAUGGACAGCUAGGCCAUGGCAAAUCUGCUUACAAGUAACAGUAAUAAUCCAGUAAAGAUUAUUGGGAAAAUAAUUUCUUAGACUAGCUGAAAUUGAGAUACAUAUGCGGCAUCGGAAUGCCCCAACAAUCAUACAAUCUUUGAGUGUGGAUAGAUCAAGUGGACAACUGAUUGAAGCUUCAAAUUUUGAUCCAUCAUCAGGU